rnacentral:rRNA from 1 species
UGCCACAGCCAUAUCACCCUGCACCCCAGACCGGUGACUCACUGAAGCCAAGCAGGGCUGAGCCUGGUCAGUACCUGGAUGGGAGACCACAUGGGUAAACUAGGUUGCUGUUGGAA